rnacentral:rRNA from 1 species
UGACAGGUGCUGCAUGGCUGUCGUCAGCUCGUGUCGUGAGAUGUUGGGUUAAGUCCCGCAACGAGCGCAACCCUUGUCUUUAAUUGCCAUCAUUUAGUUGGGCACUUUAAAGAGACUGCCGGUGUUAAGCCGGAGGAAGUGGGGAUGACGUCAAGUCCUCAUGGCCUUUAUGCCCAGGGCUACACACGUGCUACAAUGGGCGGUACAAAGAGAAGCAACCUCGCGAGGGUGAGCAAAUCUCAAAAAGCCGUUCUCAGUUCGGAUUGAAGUCUGCAACUCGACUUCAUGAAGUCGGAAUCGCUAGUAAUCGCGGAUCAGCAUGCCCGCGGUUCCGAAUACGUUCCGGCCUU